GCACCCAGAGCCGGAUUAAAUAAAUGGACUACACUAGGCAGGCUGCAUUUUUUGGGCCCCCCCAUCGAGGUUAUUUAUGAAUUGAAAUCUGAAACUUACCAAAGUUACUAAUAAAAGUGAAUUCACAUUUUACAUAGCCUAGUCUUUGCUUACAAAUUGGUUGUUUGUAUACCAAAUUAAGUCAUGUGUUGUAUAUUAACCAGUCUAUCAGACAAUUUUUUGCUAAAUUUAUUAUUUAUACGUCAUUACACGGCUCUAUUAAAUGCUAUUAAAUUAUCCUCACCUUAUCCAUUGGGAGUGUCAUUGUUAAGGCAGUAGUACAAGUAAAUAACCAAUAGGUGUCAGUAAUCCGCGGGAGAGCUUCGCUGCAUAUUUCUUUUCAAGAUUGAGAAUCGCAACGAAAUCCUUGUCGAGCAACACGUCCACUGAGCAACCAUGUCUGUGUCCUUAAAGGAACUCUGUCAGGUACAGAUUAGAACUAUGAACUUGAAAAUCAACCAUUCUGAUGACUGGCGUCCCCAUCCGAGUCACCACCUCAGACAACAACAGUCAUAAACUCACAAACACAAAUACACUCAGUAAUGGGCUUAAUAAAGAAAGACUUAACUAUGAUUUUAUCUGUGUUAACCUAUGAUAUCAGUUAUUGAUGUAUUUUAAAUAUUUACGUAUUACUAGGCUUAUCAUACAUGCAUUGAAGUUUUAAAAUGUAUCUAAUAUAAUACUGUAAUUAAAUUGAAUGUUUUGGAUACCACCAUUAAAUUAUUUUGUGCAUGUAAAACACAA